GACGAACGCUGGCGGCGUGCUUAACACAUGCAAGUCGUACGGUAAGGCCCUUUCGGGGGUACACGAGUGGCGAACGGGUGAGUAACACGUGAGUAACCUGCCCACAACUUUGGGAUAACGCUAGGAAACUGGUGCUAAUACUGGAUAUGUGCUCCUGCUGCAUGGUGGGGGUUGGAAAGCUCCGGCGGUUGUGGAUGGACUCGCGGCCUAUCAGCUUGUUGGUGGGGUAGUGGCCUACCAAGGCGGCGACGGGUAGCCGGCCUGAGAGGGUGACCGACCACGUUGGGACUGAGAUACGGCCCAGACUCCUACGGGAGGCAGCAGUGGGGAAUAUUGCACAAUGGGCGCAAGCCUGAUGCAGCAACGCCGCGUGCGGGAUGACGGCCUUCGGGUUGUAAACCGCUUUCAGCAGGGACGAAGCUUUUUGUGACGGUACCUGCAGAAGAAGCACCGGCUAACUACGUG
rnacentral:rRNA from 1 species